AGAGUUUGAUCAUGGCUCAGGACGAACGCUGGCGGCGUGCCUAACACAUGCAAGUCGAGCGAGAAAGUCUCCUUCGGGAGGCGAGUAAAGCGGCGAACGGGUGAGUAACACGUGAGCGAUCUGCCCGGCGGCGGGGGAUAACCCAGGGAAACCUGAGCUAAUACCGCAUACAGCACUGGCUUGGAAGCUGGAUGUGAAAGCUGGCCUCUCGAAGAAGCUGGCACCGUCGGAUGAGCUCGCGGCCUAUCAGCUAGUUGGUGGGGUAACGGCCUACCAAGGCGAUGACGGGUAGCUGGCGUGAGAGCGUGGCCAGCCACACUGGGACUGAGACACGGCCCAGACUCCUACGGGAGGCAGCAGUGGGGAAUAUUGCGCAAUGGGCGAAAGCCUGACGCAGCGACGCCGCGUGGGGGAGGAAGGCCUCAGGGUUGUAAACCCCUGUCAGGUGGGACGAACCACGGAUCGGUCAAUACCCGGUCCGCCUGACGGUACCACCAGAGGAAGCUCCGGCUAACUCCGUGCCAGCAGCCGCGGUAAUACGGAGGGAGCGAGCGUUGUUCGGAAUCACUGGGCGUAAAGGGCGCGUAGGCGGUCGGGUAAGUCGGGUGUGAAAUUCCGGGGCUCAACCCCGCGAACUGCAUUCGAUACUGCUCGACUAGAGAGAGGUAGGGGCGAGUGGAAUUCCCGGUGUAGCGGUGGAAUGCGUAGAUAUCGGGAAGAACACCGGUGGCGAAGGC
rnacentral:rRNA from 1 species